rnacentral:rRNA from 1 species
GAUGAACGCUGGCGGCGUGCUUAACACAUGCAAGUCGAACGAAGCACUUUAUUUGAUUUCCUUCGGGACUUAUUAUUUUGUGACUGAGUGGCGGACGGGUGAGUAACGCGUGGGUAACCUGCCUUGUACAGGGGGAUAACAGUUGGAAACGGCUGCUAAUACCGCAUAAGCGCACGGCAUCGCAUGAUGCAGUGUGAAAAACUCCGGUGGUAUAAGAUGGACCCGCGUUGGAUUAGCUAGUUGGUGAGGUAACGGCCCACCAAGGCGACGAUCCAUAGCCGACCUGAGAGGGUGACCGGCCACAUUGGGACUGAGACACGGCCCAAACUCCUACGGGAGGCAGCAGUGGGGAAUAUUGCACAAUGGGCGAAAGCAUGAUGCAGCGACGCCGCGUGAGCGAAGAAGUAUUUCGGUAUGUAAAGCUCUAUCAGCAGGGAAGAUAAUGACGGUACCUGACUAAGAAGCACCGGCUAAAUACGUG